CCGAGCGAGGGCCCCCGUGCCCGACCUCCAACCCUUUGUAAUCGAAACCUUUGUUGCCUCGGGGGCGACCCGCGACCUUCUGGUCCGGGGCCCCCGGUGGACCAUCAAACCCUGCAUUUUUGCGUCGGAUAAACGAGAAAAUUCAUUA
rnacentral:misc_RNA from 1 species